UACAGAGGUCUCAAGCGUUGUUCGGAUUCAUUGGGCGUAAAGGGUGCGUAGGCGGCGCGGUAAGUCGGGGGUGAAAUCUCGGAGCUUAACUCCGAAACUGCAUUCGAUACUGCCGUGCUUGAGGACUGGAGAGGAGACUGGAAUUUACGGUGUAGCGGUGAAAUGCGUAGAUAUCGUAAGGAAGACCAGUGGCGAAGGCGGGUCUCUGGACAGUUCCUGACGCUGAGGCACGAAAGCUAGGGGAGCAAACAGG
rnacentral:rRNA from 1 species